AGGGAGUUAGUCCAACUGAAGACUUCUGGUUUCGGCCCAGAAAAUUGUGGUUAAAAUCCAUAGCACCCUU
ensembl:Mt_tRNA tRNA-Arg